UUCAGGGAUGUUACAGUGCAGACAAAGAUUCUGGUACCUCACAAGAUUUGACACAAGCCAGCGCUUUGUUGUUUUUCUCACCUGUUGGCCAGAAGAUUAUCUUGGAGCAGGAAAAGGAGCCAAGAGAAGCCUCUGAAGGAUUGUAAACAGAAGAAUGAUCCAAUUGUGUUCGUAAAUUAAAAGGUCACCCUGGC